UACGGAGGGGGCUAGCGUUGUUCGGAAUUACUGGGCGUAAAGCGCACGUAGGCGGACUGUUAAGUCAGGGGUGAAAUCCUGGAGCUCAACUCCAGAACUGCCUUUGAUACUGAAGAUCUUGAGUCCGGGAGAGGUGAGUGGAACUGCGAGUGUAGAGGUGAAAUUCGUAGAUAUUCGCAAGAACACCAGUGGCGAAGGCGGCUCACUGGCCCGGUACUGACGCUGAGGUGCGAAAGCGUGGGGAGCAAACAGG
rnacentral:rRNA from 1 species